CUCUCUGGUCUGUAACUGACGCUGAGGCGCGAAAGCGUGGGGAGCAACCAGGAUUAGAUACCCUGGUAGUCCACGCCGUAAACGAUGAGUGUUAAGUGUUAGAGGGUUUCCGCCCUUUAGUGUUGCAGUUAACCCAUUAAGCAUUCCGCCUGGGGAGUACGGUGGCAGGAUUGAAACUCAAAAGGAAUGGACGGGGGCCCGCCCAAGGCGGUGGACCAUGUGGUUUAAUUGGAACCAACGCGGAGAACCCUUACCAGUGUCUGGACAUCCUUUUGCCACUCUCUAGAGAUAGGACGUUCCCCUUUCGGGGGACAGAGUGCCAGGUGGUGCAUGGUUGUCGUCAGCUCGUGUCGUGAGAUGUUGGGUUAAGUCCCGCAACGAGCGCAACCCUUGUUUUUAGUUGCCACCAUUUAGUUGGGCACUUUAAGGAGACUGCCGGUGCCAAACCGGAGGAAGGUGGGGAUGACGUCAAAUCAUCAUGCCCCUUAUGACUUGGGUUACACACGUGUUCCAAUGGACGGUACAAAGGGCAGCAAAACCGGGAGGUCGAGCCAAUCCCAUAAAACCGUUUUCAGUUCGGAUUGUAGGUUGCAAUUCGCUUC
rnacentral:rRNA from 2 species